UACAGAGGGGGCAAGCGUUGUUCGGAAUUACUGGGCGUAAAGGGCGCGUAGGCGGCUUGUUGCGUCGACCGUGAAAACCCGUGGCUCAACUGCGGGCUUGCGGUCGAUACGGGCGGGCUAGAGUUCGGUAGGGGAGACUGGAAUUCCUGGUGUAGCGGUGAAAUGCGCAGAUAUCAGGAGGAACACCGGUGGCGAAGGCGGGUCUCUGGGCCGAUACUGACGCUGAGGAGCGAAAGCGUGGGGAGCGAACAGG
rnacentral:rRNA from 1 species